AUUGAACGCUGGCGGCAUGCUUUACACAUGCAAGUCGAACGGUAACAGGUUAAGCUGACGAGUGGCGAACGGGUGAGUAAUGCAUCGGAACGUGCCCGGUCGUGGGGGAUAACACUUCGAAAGAAGUGCUAAUACCGCAUACGAUCUAAGGAUGAAAGCGGGGGACCGUAAGGCCUCGCGCGAUUGGAGCGGCCGAUGUCAGAUUAGGUAGUUGGUGGGGUAAAGGCUCACCAAGCCGACGAUCUGUAGCUGGUCUGAGAGGACGACCAGCCACACUGGGACUGAGACACGGCCCAGACUCCUACGGGAGGCAGCAGUGGGGAAUUUUGGACAAUGGGCGCAAGCCUGAUCCAGCAAUGCCGCGUGCAGGAAGAAGGCCUUCGGGUUGUAAACUGCUUUUGUACGGAGCGAAAAGGCUCUCUCUAAUACAGGGGGCUGAUGACGGUACCGUAAGAAUAAGCACCGGCUAACUACGUGCCAGCCGCCGCCGUAA
rnacentral:rRNA from 1 species